UACGAAGGGGGCUAGCGUUGCUCGGAAUGACUGGGCGUAAAGGGCGCGUAGGCGGUUUGACAAGUCUGAUGUGAAAUCCCUGGGCUCAACCCAGAGUCUGCAUUAGAAACUGUCGGGCUUGAGUAUGGGAGAGGUGAGUGGAAUUUCCGGUGUAGCGGUGAAAUGCGUAGAUAUCGGGAGGAACACCUGUGGCGAAAGCGGCUCACUGGACCAUAACUGACGCUGAUGCACGAAAGCUGGGGGAGCAAACAGG
rnacentral:rRNA from 1 species